rnacentral:lncRNA from 1 species
UAAAGACUGAAUGGAAAACAUGAGAGAGGAAGCUCGUGAUUUCUGAGCAUCUUGUCAAGUGGAGGCAGGCUGCUUUCUCCCACUGGAUCGUGUGUGUGCGUGCAUGUGUGUGUGUGUUAGAGGGGAAAAAAAUCUUUUUUCUUUAUUUUUAGCCAGGGUAAAAGGGAGCCUGCUGCGGGUGCUGCGAGGAGGCUGCUGGGGAAGUUCCCCGACGUGGCUGCAUGGCUCUGGGCAUGCAGGUGAGUGCUGGGGUGGGCUGCUUGAGCCUCAGGCUCUGCUGUGAGGUAGAGGAGUGGAUUGUGUGACUGAGAACUUGGCUGUGGCUUGGCUGGCGAGGGAAUGCUGGAAGGUAAAAGGCAGGUGGGUGCGCGGUCUCUAGUACUGCACCUGAGCAGUCAGAGGGCAUUGUGAUAUUGGGGUCUAAACAAAAAGCUGAGUAUCAAGAGCACUUGAAUGAAAUUUAGCAAAAUUGGUGAGGUGACUUCAUUUAGCUCAUUUGAAGCUAUGAGUGCCAAAAAUCUGGGAAAAUUAGGUCUUUCUUGAUCAGGUAAAUCCUGAGGAUGUUGUCUUCAUUUAAAGUAUUUUUAUCCUAACUCCAAAACAUCGGGCAGAGCUGUUAGCAGAAGCUGAGUUUGGAGAGAAUUAAGCAGAGUCCCUCUUUCUGUGUGAACAGAUAAACCAGGUGUAGUUUAAUGUGUGGUAGUCUGGAGCGAGCAGACUGAUUUCUAGAUUUUUGGGAGGAAAUCUGAGUUUGAGGUAAUGUCCAAAGACAUUUUCUCCAAAUAAUAAGUAUAAAUAGUCCUGGGCUGCAUCUUUGCUGACAGUGCAUCUCUCUUGGUUUAAUAGCAUCAAAUCAGUUCAGCACGGCGCAGCAGGCUUGAUAUCCCCAGACCAAUUGCGACUGG